rnacentral:tRNA from 1 species
GUCCAAGUAGUUUAAUAAAAACACCGGCUUUGUAAGCCGAAAAUAGGGGCUAACCCCCCUCCUCGACU